UACGUAGGGUGCGAGCGUUAAUCGGAAUUACUGGGCGUAAAGCGUGCGCAGGCGGUUCUGAAAGUCAGCUGUGAAAGCCCCGGGCUUAACCUGGGAACUGCGGUUGAAACUACAGGACUAGAAUCUGGCAGAGGGGGGUGGAAUUCCACGUGUAGCAGUGAAAUGCGUAGAGAUGUGGAGGAACACCGAUGGCGAAGGCAGCCUCCUGGGCCAGCACUGACGCUCAUGCACGAAAGCGUGGGGAGCGAACAGG
rnacentral:rRNA from 1 species